rnacentral:rRNA from 1 species
GACGAACGCUGGCGGCGUGCCUAAUGCAUGCAAGUCGAGCGGACUUGAGAGGAAGCUUGCUUCCGAUCAGGUUAGCGGCGGACGGGUGAGUAACACGUAGGCAGCCUGCCCGCAAGCCCGGGAUAACAUUCGGAAACGGAUGCCAAUACCGGAUACGCGGUUUUGUCGCAUGACGAAGCCGGGAAAGACGGAGCAAUCUGUCGCUUGCGGAUGGGCCUGCGGCGCAUUAGCUGGGUGGCGGGGUAACGGCCCACCAAGGCGACGAGUCGUGGCCGACCUGAGAGGGUGGUCGGCCAGACUGGGACUGAGACACGGCCCAGACUCCUACGGGAGGCAGCAGUAGGGAAUCUUCCGCAAUGGACGAAAGUCUGACGGAGCAACGCCGCGUGAGUGAGGAAGGCCUUCGGGUCGUAAAGCUCUGUUGCCAGGGAAGAAUGUUUGGGGGAGUCACUGCCCUUGAAAUGACGGUACCUGAGAAGAAAGCCCCGGCUAACUACGUGCCAGCCGCCGCCGUAAGAC